GCUUACGGCCAUACCACCAUAGGCACGCUCGAUCUCGUCUGAUAUCGGAAGCUAAUCAGGGUCGGGCCUGGUUAGUACUUGGAUGGGUUACCGCCUGGGAAUACCAGGUGCUGUAAGCA
ensembl:rRNA 5S_rRNA 5S ribosomal RNA